AUUUACGUGGCGGAAUCGGUAGACGCGGUAGACUUAAAAUCUACUUCCUUUGGGAGUGUUAGUUCAACUCUAGUCGUAGGUA
rnacentral:tRNA from 1 species